rnacentral:rRNA from 1 species
ACUCCUGCGGGAGGCAGCAGUGGGGAAUAUUGCACAAUGGGCGCAAGUCUGAUGCAGCGACGCCGCGUGGGGGAUGAAGGCCUUCGGGUUGUAAACUCCUUUCGCUAGGGACGAAGCUUUUUUGUGACGGUACCUAGAUAAGAAGCACCGGCUAACUACGUGCCAGCAGCCGCGGUAAUACGUAGGGUGCGAGCGUUGUCCGGAAUUACUGGGCGUAAAGGGCUCGUAGGUGGUUUGUCGCGUCGUCUGUGAAAUUCUGGGGCUUAACUCCGGGCGUGCAGGCGAUACGGGCAUAACUUGAGUGCUGUAGGGGUAACUGGAAUUCCUGGUGUAGCGGUGAAAUGCGCAGAUAUCAGGAGGAACACCGAUGGCGAAGGCAGGUUACUGGGCAGUUACUGACGCUGAGGAGCGAAAGCAUGGGUAGCGAACAGGAUUAGAAACCCGUGUAGUCCCAUG